UUCCACAGCCACCUCUUGGGUCCUGCUGUGCCCAUCCUGAGCUUCCAACCUCACGGAGAUGCACCUAGGUGCUCACGCCAGGACCAGGUAGAGCCCAGUACCUGUCCUUCCAGGCAUGGGUGUGGCUUGGGGACAAAUUUCUUACCAAGAGAAAUAUGGCUAGAGAGGGCUUCAGGCCUAUCACCAGGCAGGGCUGCGCCCAGGCUGCAGGACAGGCUAUGCCCCGCCUGGCCCCGCCCUCACCACCAUGCGCUUGCUCAAUGGAGAACUGAGUUUCUGACCGGGCCUCGUCUGUGCCAGCUGUCCCUGGGUUUGAACUCAGGACCUUCCUCUUGCAAGGCAGGCGACAGAACCACUGAGCUAAAUCCCCGCCCCAAUUCUGAUUAAUUUUAACAAUCCUGAUUAAUGUGAAAAUGGUGGGUUUUUUGGUUUUUUGUUUUGUUUUUUUUUGGUACAGGGGAUCGAACUCCGGUCCUUGCGCUGGAAACCACUGAGGGUCUUGCUGGCCUGGAAAGUGAAACCCUUCCUCCUCAGCCUCCUGCGCAGGUAGGAUUACAGCCCAGCUAUGGAAUUCCAAGACAUAAUUCCAUUUUGUCCUCCGCUCCCAACUGAGACCUCAAUGAUCCGGUGAUGCUGUGAUUCUCCAGGACAGGAAACAUCCUGGGAGCUGCAAACAUCCUGGGAGAACAAACAUCUACUCAGUUCCUCCUUGAUCUUGGACUGUUACACCUUGUUUACCCAGGAUGUACUGAACUCUCUGCGAGUCAUUUGUUACAUUUGUUUCUCCCGAUGUACUGAGUACUGAAUAAAAGGUGCAGUAAGCUGGGGGCUUUCUGCCUUUGCCCCCCAGAGCAGCACUGAUCAGACCCAAAGCUCAGCUUCUUCUCAGUCUCAUUUUUCUACCUUUUCUGUAAUUUGCCUUGUGCUGCUGUGGCUCGCAGGAGACUAGGACUUAACUGCAGAGGUUCUGGUAACGUCCCCUUUCCCUGUUCUCUACAACAGUGCUAUCACAUUAUCCUCUCAAUUGUAGGAUUACAGGUUGUGGCAUUUUAUCUAUAGUUUCAAGUGUUAUACAACGAAUCUGUAUUACUUGUAAAGCAAAACUAUAAGUGUGAAAAAGAAAAUCAUCUCUAGCUUUUUCAAAAGCAGAUUAUUUUGGCAUUUCCCCAGAACGGCUGUGUCUCAGCAUGGCACUGUGGGCCAUGAAGGGAUGCUCAGCAUCUGCACAGGGUCGUUCCUUGACUUCCUCUAAUACGGUGGACUGCGUUGUUUUUCUUUCUUUCUUUUUUUUUUUGGUACCGGGGAUUGGACUGCAUUUUUAAGAAGUUAUUGAGAAUGUAAUUGAGUUUCUUCUAGCUUCUCAUCCCUUCAGGGCUGCUGCCAACCUGGGAAUGUCCUGUCAGCUCGUUUGUGUAUCCUUGUGUCCUUCAGUGAGCCCUCCACUCACCCUAUGUGCAUUCUUCUAGGGACAUGAUAUUUCAACUCAAAAGGCAGCUUUUAAAGGGGAUAUAUUUACUCUGUGCUGCCACUAUGGAAAUCAGUACAGAGGUUCCACAAAAAACUAAAAACAGAGGGAAUGGAGAUUUAGCUCAGUGGUUCCGCCGCCUGCCUUGCAAGCACAAGGUCCUGAGUUCAAUCCCCGGUACCCCCCCCCCAAUAAAUAAAAUAAUCACAACUAUAAUGAAAAACAUUACAUUCUCACAAUUGAAAAAAAACCCCAAUAACAAAAAACUAAAAACAGCUAUUAUAAGCCCCAGGCCCCAGAGAUACCACUCCUUGGUGUACACAGGAAGGCAUUAGGCAGCCUACUAUAGGCAUACUGGGGAGCCAUAUUUAUUGCUGCAAAAUUCACCAUCGUCA
rnacentral:lncRNA from 1 species